GACGAACGCUGGCGGCGUGCCUAAUACAUGCAAGUCGAACGAACCGCGACUAGGUGCUUGCACUUGGUCAAGGUGAGUGGCGAACGGGUGAGUAACACGUGGGUAACCUACCUCAUAGUGGGGGAUAACAGUCGGAAACGACUGCUAAUACCGCAUAGGACAUAGGAUCACAUGAUCCAGUGAGGAAAGGUGGCGCAAGCUAUCGCUAAGAGAUGGACCCGCGGUGCAUUAGCUAGUUGGUAGGGUAAAGGCCUACCAAGGCGAUGAUGCAUAGCCGACCUGAGAGGGUGAUCGGCCACAUUGGGACUGAGACACGGCCCAAACUCCUACGGGAGGCAGCAGUAGGGAAUCUUCCGCAAUGGACGCAAGUCUGACGGAGCAACGCCGCGUGAGGGAAGAAGGUCUUCGGAUCGUAAAGCUCUGUUGUUAGAGAAGAACAGCGCAUAGAGUAACUGUUAUGCGUGUGACGGUAUCUAACCAGAAAGCCACGGCUAACUACGUG
rnacentral:rRNA from 1 species